rnacentral:rRNA from 1 species
GUACACUCCUGCGGGAGGCAGCAGUGGGGAAUAUUGCACAAUGGGCGCAAGCCUGAUGCAGCCAUGCCGCGUGUAUGAAGAAGGCCUUCGGGUUGUAAAGUACUUUCAGCGGGGAGGAAGGCGAUAAGGUUAAUAACCUUGUCGAUUGACGUUACCCGCAGAAGAAGCACCGGCUAACUCCGUGCCAGCAGCCGCGGUAAUACGGAGGGUGCAAGCGUUAAUCGGAAUUACUGGGCGUAAAGCGCACGCAGGCGGUCUGUCAAGUCGGAUGUGAAAUCCCCGGGCUCAACCUGGGAACUGCAUUCGGAACUGGCAGGCUAGAGUCUUGUAGAGGGGGGUAGAAUUCCAGGUGUAGCGGUGAAAUGCGUAGAGAUCUGGAGGAAUACCGGUGGCGAAGGCGGCCCCCUGGACAAAGACUGACGCUCAGGUGCGAAAGCGUGGGGAGCAAACAGGAUUAGAUACCCCAGUAGUCCCAUGA